UAUACCGCGAAACUGCGAAUGGCUCAUUAUAUAAGUUAUAGUUUAUUUGAUAGCACCUUACUACAUGGAUAACUGUGGUAAUUCUAGAGCUAAAACAUGCUAAAAAUCCCGACUUCGGAAGGGAUGUGUUUAUUAGAUUAAAAACCAAUGCCCUUCGGGGCUGCUUGGUGAUUCAUAAUAACCUCUCGAAUCGCACGGCCUUGCGCCGGCGAUGGUUCAUUCAAAUUUCUUCCCUAUCAACUUUCGAUGCGAAGGUAUUGUCUUCGCAUGGUUACAACGGGUAACGGAGGGUUAGGGCUCGACCCCGGAGAAGGAGCCUGAGAAACGGCUACUACAUCCAAGGAAGGCAGCAGGCGCGCAAAUUACCCAAUCCCGACACGGGGAGGUAGUGACAAUAAAUACUGAUACAGGGCUCUUUUGGGUCUUGUAAUUGGAAUGAGUACAAUUUAAAUCCCUUAACGAGGAACAAUUGGAGGGCAAGUCUGGUGCCAGCAGCCGCGGUAAUUCCAGCUCCAAUAGCGUAUAUUAAAGUUGUUGUGGUUAAAAAGCUCGUAGUUGAACCUUGGGCCUGGCUGGCCGGUCCCCCUCACCGGGUGCACUGGUCCGGCCGGGCCUUUCCCUCUGUGGAACCGCAUGCCCUUCACUGGGUGUGCCGGGGAAACAGGACUUUUACUUUGAAAAAAUUAGAGUGCUCCAGGCAGGCCUAUGCUCGAAUACAUUAGCAUGGAAUAAUAGAAUAGGACGUGUGGUUCUAUUUUGUUGGUUUCUAGGACCGCCGUAAUGAUUAAUAGGGACAGUCGGGGGCAUCAGUAUUCAAUUGUCAGAGGUGAAAUUCUUGGAUCUAUUGAAGACUAACUACUGCGAAAGCAUUUGCCAAGGAUGUUUUCAUUGAUAAGGAACGAAAGUUAGGGGAUCGAAGACGAUCAGAUACCGUCGUAGUCUUAACUAUAAACUAUGCCGACUAGGGAUCGGACGGUGUUUAUACUUGACCCGUUCGGCACCUUUCGAGAAAUCAAAGUGCUUGGGCUCCAGGGGGAGUAUGGUCGCAAGGCUGAAACUUAAAGAAAUUGGCGGAAGGGCACCACCAGGGGUGGAGCCUGCGGCUUAAUUUGACUCAACACGGGGAAACUCACCAGGUCCAGACACAAUGAGGAUUGACAGAUUGAGAGCUCUUUCUUGAUUUUGUGGGUGGUGGUGCAUGGCCGUUCUUAGUUGGUGGAGUGAUUUGUCAGCUUAAUUGCGAUAACGAACGAGGCCUUCUUCUGCUAAAUAGCCCGAACUGCUUUGGCAGUCCGCCGGCUUCUUAGAGAGACUAUCGGCUCAAGCCGAUGGAAGUUGGAGGCAAUAACAGGUUAACUUCACAGGCCUGUAACAGUGGGCCUCCUUAAAGAUAACUGCUAGUCCAACGUCUUCAUCUCCUUGGGGGAAGCCCCCCGUUAUCGGGAGGAGACGCGGCGCGCCCCCAGGGGCCGCCGUGUGGCGUGGGCGACACUACCUGGUACAGGGAACGCCGGACCGCACCCCUCGGGGGGCGGUUGGCCGAUCCUGUGGCGAGCUCGAGUCGCGUCGAGCCGUCGCAACGCGCGGAAAGGAGUGGGCUGUACGCUUGUACGGCUUAAGGUACGUGCUAAUCCCUUGGGAAACCAAGCCCCUGCUGCUGAGACCCGAUAAGUCGAGGCGCAGAGGGGGACGACGGGCGCUGCGCCGCCCGUCGCCUGGCCUGCCCCGGCUCUCCAUCCCCGGAGAGCCGCGCGGCAGGGUCUGCUGUGAUGCCCUUAGAUGUUCUGGGCCGCACGCGCGCUACACUGACAGAGCCAGCGAGUAUCUCCUUGGCCGAAAGGUCCGGGUAAUCUUGUUAAACUCUGUCGUGCUGGGGAUAGAGCAUUGCAAUUAUUGCUCUUCAACGAGGAAUCCCUAGUAAGCGCAAGUCAUCAGCUUGCGUUGAUUACGUCCCUGCCCUUUGUACACACCGCCCGUCGCUACUACCGAUUGAAUGGCUCAGUGAGGCCUCCGGACUGGCCCAGAGAGGUGGGUGACUACCACUCAGGGC
rnacentral:rRNA from 1 species